rnacentral:rRNA from 1 species
GACGAACGCUGGCGGCGUGCCUAAUGCAUGCAAGUCGAACGCAGCGAGCUUGCUCGGCUGCGUGGCGCACGGCUGAGGAACACGUGGGUAUCAACCCCGGAGUGGGGGAUACCUCGGAGAAAUCCGAGACAAUCCCGCAUACGCUCGGGCAACCGAGGAAAGGCGCAAGCCGCUCUGGGACGAGCCUGCGGCCCAUCAGGUAGUUGGUAGGGUAACGGCCUACCAAGCCGGUGACGGGUCCCUGGUCUGAGAGGACGACCAGGCAGACUGGGACUGAGACACGGCCCAGACUCCUACGGGAGGCAGCAGCAAGGAAUUUUCCCCAAUGGGCGCAAGCCUGAGGGAGCAACGCCGCGUGCAGGACGACGGCCUUCGGGUUGUAAACUGCUUUUGGGGGGGAAGAGACUGACGGUACCCCCCGAAUAAGCCCCGGCUAACUCCGUGCCAGCCGCCGCCGUAACAC